CCCACCACCAGGCUCUGCUAAUUUUUUUAUAUUUAGUAGAGACAGGGUUUCACCAUAUUGGUCAGGCUGGUCUUAAACUUCUGACCUCAAGGGAUUACAGGCAUGAGCCACUGCUCCUGGCCAAUCUUCUGCUUUCCUAAUGAGAAAUUCAGCUUCCUUAGGGAGUUUUGAGGGCCACAUACUGUGUAUUUUGUUACACUUUCCUCAUGAUUUGGUGGUGGCCCAGAGGCCUGUUGUCAGCUUCUCAUCCAGGUUGAGGGUGCAAGACAACCUGUCUUUCUUCUGUUUUACUUGACUGAAUACUGCUGCAAGAAAAUAGGAAAAUCGGAGAAGUUUUUGUGUCUGGCCUGCUGAUUUUAUGUUUCAUUUAUAACAAACCCUCAGUGCUUAUCAUUAUAGGAAAGCUAAUCCAAUUCAUGCCAAUUGAGAGAUUAAUUUUGAAGGUGUGUAAAAACCUGGCCCAUUUUCAUCUGGCAAAGUAAACUACUUUGUUCUCUCAACUAACAAUUUAAAAUGUUUGAGCUUUAAGAAAGUUCAAAAUUAUAAAUGAGAAUGAAGAUUCUAGCACAUUUUAAAUCAGAAAGUCCAUUGUAUCUUAGCUUCUUUUCCUUUCUUUUGUUAUCUGUUAACCAUACCAAUUCUUAGUACCACUUUCUAGAGGGGAAGAGGAAUUGACAUUGAAAUUAUAUUACCUAUAAUUAGUCAACUACUUUAUGAAAAGAAGGAAGAAAGGAGGAAGGUAAGGAAAAGAAAGGGAGGGAGAAGAGAGAAAAAAUACAAAUUUUAAAAGAUUAAUGUAGGAUUUUGAAAUUAGCGGCUUUCAUUUCUAAAUCCCUUGUUACUAAUCAGAAUUCACUAACAUACAGGUUUACUGUUAUGGUUAUUACAUAGAAGAUAUUUUUGCCAUUUAGUUAUUUGAAAGAUGUGCCAUUUUAGAAUACUUUUGCUGUAAAUAAUAGAAUAACCUCAUAAGGGCUGAAAGAAUGAAGACUUUUAAUUAACUUGCCCAACCCACAGCCUGGAGAUGAGAGGUUCCAGGUGGGCUUAAAAGCUCUGAGAUGCUCUAGACCAUCCAAUCUUUGGACUGGUCACUACAUAAUCACAGGAUGGUUACCUCAGUUCCAAAUAUCUUUGCUUCACUUAGGAAGGAAGGAGGCCCAGGUUAGGGCUUUCUUCUAACAAAAUUAUUUUCAUAAAGGCCCCAGCAAACUUCCUCUUGCUUCCCUCUGAUAGGAACUGGGUCACAUGCCUACCCUGGCAAAGUUGAAUGGAAUAGCCAAGUUGACUUAGAUGAAUCCUGGUUCAGGCCCUAGCGCUAGGCUGGGUCCACAGUGCUAAGCACUCUCUCAUUUAAACUUCCUCACAUCCUGUUCGGGCAAAUACCAUUUCGUAGGAUAAAAACCAAAUGUUAAUAAAGAAAUAAGAGGCAUCCACAAUCAGUAAGUGAUGGUGCCCAGAUUCCAAUUUGCUUCUGUCUCUAGAGCCUCUCUUCUUGUUGGCAGCCCAGUGAGAGCCAUUCCCACCCCACUUUUCCUCUGUUCAUUUCCCACCAAAACAUCUGCAAGAGCCGGAUCCUUGCUUGCUCAGCCUUCAGUGCAAGCUUCUGGCUGCUAUCCCAGUUGCUGGGGGGACUUCUGGAAAGGAUUUUCUUCCUGGAAACAGGAGAAAUGCAUCUUUUGCCACCCUGAUAGUCUUGCUGCUUCCAGCCUCUGCACAUAGUUUGUGUAGGUGGCUGAAAAACAAAACAAAAUUAGAAUAAUCAUCUGAGAGGAUUUUAAACUGAACUUGAGCCAAGUUUCCUGCCCUUAAGAGUGUCAAGUGAAAAAGAUCUAUAUCAAUUAAUAAUUGCAAUAAAAUAUGACCAGUAAUCAAUCCCAUGGAAUAUUAAUUGUAUAUAUGUAAGAGUGACUGUUAUAUUUUCACUAUUUUUUCCCUAUAUUGCUGAUAGAUAUCUCCAAAAUAGGUUAUUUUCUUACCAACCUGCUGGAGCUGUGACUUCAUCUUUCUUAUCCAGAACCCUUAUUGGGCUUAGUUCCUCAUCAGUAAUGCUGAAUUUUGCUAUUAGUCAGUCCUAGGCAAGAAACUAGAUUUUUUUUUUCAACCCUUCAUUGUUGUUCUUCCAAAUUGCUGCUAAAACUUGUCUUUUUUUCCCACCGCUAAUGACAUCUCCCACAUCUGGGUCUCCAUCACCAUCACCUCUGCCAAGGCCUGGUUCCAGGCCUACGUCACCUCCCGUUGGAGUACUCACAGCUCCUUCUCGCUGGCUAUCUGCUGCUACUGCCUUUCCAGGACAGUCUUUCUUGGAAGUCCUUCCCAUAGCUUUGAGCAUUGAUCUUCACCUUUUUUACUCUUGUAAUUGUGCAUCAGUUCCCACAGGCAGGGAUUGCAUGACAGAUGCUUUUGAUGUAUGUCAAUGGUUGCAAGCACACUGAAUAAUUAAAAUAUCAUUGUGAACUGGGAGUCAUCAUCUGAAUUAAUUUCAUUGACGAAUAUAUCCAAAUCAUUUGUUUUGUUAGGUUCAAGAGUUCUGUGGGAUGCAGAAAUGGAGUGAAUCUUUGACUGGAAGUCUGUGAUCCAAAUACCAAUGAUAUUCUUGGAGUAUUAGUCACAGUCAUUGGCCAGAGAUGAGGUGGAAGUAUUAUUAUGGUACUACAAACACAAUUUAAGUUAAAGGGAGUAACAUCUGCUACUCUUAUUUUUAUGCUGGUGAGAUUUAAAUAGGCUAGAUUUGAUAAGGCAUAAUGUAGAAAUUGAGGAAAAGCUUGCUGAAAGUUAAGACCAAAAGCUAAGUAUAAUGCUCUGGUUAAUAUAUUAAAUGAGCUCAGGCAGAGGAUACAACUACUCAUGAAGUGUACACACUCCAGUGAUGGAAGACCCACUCAACAAUUCUCAAGUGUCCCUCGUACACAAAACAACAGCCAUCAAACUGGCCCAGUGAGCUCAUUAAAUAUCAUAUUGUUCUGCCAGACAAGGCCCUUGUUUUAGGGAGUGACUAAGAGACUGUCACUUCUUGGGCCAGGAGAAUGAAAAUCCUCUUCAGGCUCUGGGAAAAGGAGAGAGAUAAAUUGUUGACACUGUUCCUAAGGACAUCCCUCCCCAUUUCAGUCUAUGUCUGAUUGGUCUAUGUUUUAUAUUGAAAGAUGACAACUCAGCUGAUUUAUUCAGCUUAGUGUAUUCAUGAAGUUCUUGCUAUUGACCCACACAAGAGGCAGAAAGUUAGAAUGUUCUUUGUGGAUAGUGCUAAGUUAAUACCAAAGGAUCUACCCUAGCCUGACACUGCUGAGGCUGGCAAAGUUAUGUGAGCUCAGAAGUUGAAUCCAAGCCUCUAUCUCCUCCACUUUAACUGGAAAGUUAACACAGUCCGGAAGAGUCAGCCAGGAGUAUCAGCUCGUUUGUGUUAUUUGCUUUUAUUUUUUCUUGCUGAAAACAGAAGUGAAUUACACUCUUCACUGAAUCCUGCUGCAGAGGAAAAUGAUGCAACACUGGUCACAUGACACAAAGAUAAAAGGCCCUUUAUGCAAAUCUAGUUCUUCAUUGUGUUUCCAUGUAAGGAGAGGUUCAGUACCCACACUGCAAAGCAACAUAAAAUUGCAGUUCUUAAUCUUGGAUCCUUCUCUACAUGGAGAAGCCAUGAUGUUUUACUUUGUUUAUCUCUCUUUUUAAAUUUUUCUGCCUUUUUGACCACAAGAUUCAUUAAUUUUCAGAUAUGUCUGUGAAAUGAAAAGUGUAGAGUGAAGUGAUGUUUUAUUUGUAUAAUGAUCAGCCAGCUUGAGGAAACAUUUUGGAGAGAAAUUGUUUGUUUUUAAAUCAUUCAGCACUGUCAAGAAUUGCUCUCUGUAAAAAUAUUAACUUUUUUCUACAUUUACCUAAAUGUCAUUUAUGUUACAAGAAUUUAACUUACUUUUAAACCUUCUAGCCACUUUUGCCAAAAUGGAAGGAAACCAUGCUCAGUGAAGUCUACUGAGCUAGUUUAAUUCUUUACUCACAAGGUCUUUUUUCAUGAGGAGAAUGCUGCUGUUUCAUAUUUAUUUGGAGACACUGAUGGCCUUACUAGAAAAAAAAAAUCUGAAUGUAAAGAUUUUAUCUUGAUGAUUAAGGUACAUGUACUCAAAUAGCUGCCCAAAUUGGACAUGGUUGAAUAAGCUUCAGGAAGUGCCUGAGAGUGAAUCAGCAGUGCUCCCUUUCCCUUCUUAUCAAUUAUUAAAUGCUUACAUGUAUAGGGUACUGUGGUGCAUAGAGUACACAGUGAUUCAGCAGGCCCAGCUCUUGUCUUCCCUGGGCUUCACAAUCAAAGACAGCCUACUUUAGUGAAAGGAAAGACAUAAGAAAGUUGCAGAGAGCAUAAAUAGGUGCUCUGCCUGUGUGAGGCAUUGUGCUGGGACCUAGUGACACUGACCUAAAUAAUCAUUUAGAGAAGGAAGUGAUUCAUCAUUUUAAGAGUGGGGGAAGAGGCUGAGGGAUAGUUACACAGAGGCUAUGACGUUUGAACUUGAAGAAUGUCACAGAGAAUAGGGGGAAAGGCAGAGGGAAGAGCAUGAGCAAUUGCAGGGAGUUGGGGAGGUGCCUGAGGGAAUGACAACUGGAUCCCAGGGUCCCUGAAGGAGUGACAGAUGGUGUAUACAAAGGCAAGCUUGGUCAGAUGACAGAGAGCAUGGAAGGUCUGCUGAAAGGUCUGGGCUUAUUCUAAAAGCACUGGGCAACCUCAUCAGUUUUUAAGCAGGGAACAGCAUGAUCACAUCCCAGCAAAUUCAGGGACUGGAGAAUGGCGGUAGGGCCAAUCACUGCAAGGAUGCCCCAGGAAAGAGACAGCAAGGACUCAAAAUAAAGCAGAGGAGUUGGAUAGAAGGGAACAGAUUCAAGCCAGUUGUCUGGGGUAGAAUUGCCAGGGUUUGUUGUCUUCCCUGGGUCCAGCCUGUGUUUCAUUUUAAUGUAUGAUAAAAACAUUCAUUAUUAUGUAGCUCAAGCAAGCUGCUUUAAAAAAAUAGACAGAAGCAAUUACUUGAUGAACAGUGUUUUGAAAUUAUACCUUGGCUAGAAAAUAUGCUCUUUAAAUAGAAUAUUUGUGUUGAGAGUAGAAGGUGAUGGCAGGGUUCUCUCUUGACAAUACUCAAUUGACUUAAUGCACCAAAUUAACACAGUGGUGUUGUAUAGCUGCUAUGUAAAGCCCCUAUUACAUUCAUUUUCUUUUUAGUUCCACGUUAUAGAUUGGCAGAGAUUUUCUUUGGUUUUGUUUUUCAAGGAAAUACACAUUUUAGAUGGCCAGAUGACCUUAACUCAUUUAAAUGUCAAAUAAAUACCCAAUGGAUACUGCAUAGCCUGUUGGAUUACUUUGGGAUAGUUUUAGAGUAUCAAUUCAUCUAAGUUGUCUAACCACUUUUUACAUAUUACAAUCUCUCAGAAAAAAUGUAGCGUAAUUUUCAUAGAAAACAAAGGCAUCUUGAAUGCUCCCAAAGAUAACACCUCUUAGGAAACAAGUUCAAUAUGAUCUCUGUCAGCUGCUUUUAUUGUAUUCAGAAUUCUAUGUGACUUGGUCCUGCUAUGACAGACAGGCAUUAGCAAUUGUUUCACCUUUCUUUCUGUCCUUCAGGGAGAGCAGUGUGCUUUCCUGGGCCAUGUAUAGUUGCAUAAUAAACCCCUCCCAGAGACAAGGUCUCCUAGCCUUAGGGGAGUUUUCAAAAGCAUAUUUUGCUCUGUUUGUAUGCCACUUCCAACUCCAUCCCAUUAGGCUAGUUGAAUCAGAUUCUCCCAAUGCCUCCUCCCCACCCUUAUGCGAGGAAGUUUUAGAAAUCGUAUUAUCAUUAUGGGCUGACCGGGCAUGACGGUGACUACUUCAGAAUGCCACACAGUACUCUGGUGACAACUAUUAAGUAAUGGCAUUACAUCAGUCAUCACGUAAGAAAGUGAGACAGAGGUGCACCUAAGUCUUCAUAAUGAAACAACAGGUUGUAAACCUUACACCUGUACUAUCUUGUACACUCUCAGUUCUCUGAAUGAAUAUUGCAAAAUAAAGAGACUUAAAAUUAAUUUUUAAUUAUAUCCACUACAUACAGCAUUUUAAGAAGACCCUUACAACAUAACAUUUCAACAGACUCUGAAAAGCAACAAUGAGGAUUAUUCAGGGAAACAAACCUAUACCAGCACAGUUGAGAACAGAGGUAAUAAUUUAAAUUGAGAGGUUAUACAGCCAUAAAACUCCAUUCAUGUAGAUACAUACUUAAUUCUUUCCAUUUCCUUCUGAUUUGGGAGCUCAAAAUUAUUUUAUCCCAGGAGGUAGUUGGGUGAGGAAAAUGACCGUUUCCUUGUAUUUGGUUAAGGGAGGUUUUGUGGUAUAAGUGGGAUUUUUACAGGUCUUUGAAGGAGAAGAUGGGUUGGCAGGAUUGAAGGAAAAGAUAUGUCAAGCAAAAAGUGUGUAGUUGGGAGAGGAAGAAGCAGAGGAAGGGAGUGGU